CGUUCGCCCCAGGGGGCCACACACACACGGGGAACGCCCUUCCUCAUUCUCCUCUCUGCAGUCUCCCGUUCGCCGCCGUCGCCUUCGCUCUCUUCUCCGCCGUAUUUGCCGUCUACGCCGCCACAGUUCUGUAGAAACUUCUUCCCGUCUACGCUCUCAAAUUUGAAACGAGUAGAGGGGCUUUUGCCCCUAAAACGCGAAUGCUUCGCCCCUGCAUUCUUCCGUCCUCUCUUGCCGCCAUUGGAGUUCAAAGCUCAGACUCCCAUUUCAACCUGCCAUGCGUUUUUGCACAAUUCCAACCAUUAAUUAUCCAUACCGACUUGGGCGGAGUUUUUGCUUUUUGGUGAAUUAUUCGACCUCCUGUGCUAUCAGCAGUGUAAAUAUCAUCGAAGAGAGCAACACCCACAACUGGAAUUACCUCCAAUUACAGUCUAGAAUGCAGGACCGUGCGGCUUCUGGUGAUCUCGCUGAAGCUCUUGAAACUUUGAAUUUUAUGAGAAGUAUUACUGGGAAGCCCUCUGUUUACGAUUACAAUGCUCUCUUUUGUAGAUAUUUGAGUUCUGAAAAUGUUUUGCUGGAACAGUUGGUCCAAGUGUAUAUAGGAAUGAAGAGGUUCGGCCCAGCCCCUAACAAAACGACUUUCAACAUACUUCUUAAUGGACUUCUGUCAUUGGGUUUUCUGAGAGACGCAUAUUUCUUUGUGGAAGAGAUGACUAAAAGUGGGAUAAAUCCAUCUUUCACAUUCUUGUCCAAAUGGCUUAAAAAGUCACUUAAGUCAGGUAAUUUAGUUGAUUCUAUUUGGAUAUUCGAGUUCAUGUUGAGGUUAGACCAUUUGCCAACUGAACCCACUUUAGCCAUGUUUAUUUGUCUGCUUUGUAAAUCCAAAAUGUUGGAAGAGGCAUCCAGAUUCUGUGCUGCACUUCUAUCCAAGAAUCUGACUUUUCAAGCAUAUGUUUUUAACCCCAUUAUUUGGGCUUUGUGUAAGAGUGGGAAGAGUUUUCUAGCUUUGCAGUUGUUCUAUAUGAUGAAAAAGAAAGGCAUGACCCAUAAUGUAUGUUCAUAUACUGCUUUGCUUUAUGGAUUUGGAAGGGAAUGUUUGUGGGUUGAUCUUUAUCGUUGUUUGGAUCAAAUGAGAAGUGAUGGAUUUAAGCCCAAUGUCAUUACUUACACAGUUAUUGUUAAGUUUCUUUGUGAUGAUGGGAGGAUUGGUGAAGCAUUUGAAAUCUUGAAAUUCAUGGAGAGGGAGGGAUGUGAUCCAGACUUGGUAACUUAUAAUGUAAUAAUCCGUGCACUUUGCCUUCACGAUAGAGCAUACGAUGUUGCUGAGCUUUUGCAGGUGAUUCAUAACAGAGGGUUUUCUCCUGAUGCAUAUACAUAUUCUGCUUUGUCUGGAGGGAUAAUGAAAGUAGGAAAGUCACAGAUUGCUUACGAGUUAUUGUGUUAUGUGUUUUCAAAGAACUGUACCGUUGACAUUGUUGUAUACAAUAUUUACUUCCAUUGCUUGUGUCAAAAUAGUAGGUCAAGAGAAGCAUUAUCACUGUUGAAUAGGAUGGCAGGAGGAGGUAUUGUUCCUACUAUUGUGUCAUAUAAUACAAUUUUAAGGGGCUUUUGUAAAUACUAUAAAGUUGAAUAUGCUUUGAAGCUCUUCGAAUAUUUCGAGUGGCCCAAGAGCGGACCAGACGUAGUUUCAUUCAAUACUGUUCUCUCUGCCGCAUGCAAGCAAGGGGAUUUUGUUCUAAUUCAGAGGGUUUUGCAUUACAUGGAAUAUAGAGGUGUCGAGCCAGAUGUAAUAAGCUUGACUUGUUUGGUUCAUUACUUGUCUACGAUGGGGAGAUUUUCGGAAUCCUUGAGAUUACUGGAAUUCAUGGUAUGUUACGGCCCUGCUCCCUCAAGUGUCACUUUCAAUAUUCUCCUUGACAAGCUUUGCAGAAAUGGGUUUAUUAGAACCGCUUUCCAGAUAUUUGAGCAUAUUCGAAAAGCUGGAUUAUCACUGGACCAAAAAACUUAUAAUAUUCUUAUACAUGCCUUAGUAAGAAAGCGUGAUUUUAAUUUGAUGGAACGACUGCUGCAGGAUAUGUACAAGCAGAAGUUAAAUCACGCUUCGUUGAGUCUUAGGAGAAGUUAGAUAUGUACACUGCCAUUAGGGAAGAGCUGUAAGCUACAUUUAUUGCCCAUCAGUCUUAGUGGUCUUACACUGGAUUUAUGAUGUUCUUUCCUCUAAGAUCUCUGAGAAAUAACCUAAGCUAACUCAACCGAUGGUGCUAAAAGGUCAGAGGUAUCGAGAAAGCGCAGCAAAAAAUGAGAUUUAUGGUCGAUCAAGGGCCAAUCCCCAGUUACACACAUCGCAUGGCCAGGUCACAAAUGAGGUGUUCCCCGAGUGCAGAAGACAUGCACAUUUUGUUUAGUCUUCUGUCUGGACUGGCAAAGUGGCAACCAUGGAAGAUUUGCCAGGGCCUUACUAGAAUGUGUUCUCGAGUUUUAAGGAGACGAGUAUAGGUGGCCUGGAAAUUCAAGAAGGUCGUAAUCAAACGAAGGGUGGCAGAUUCCCAAAUGCAUUGCAAGGAUACCGUCCAAAGGAGACGUUAACGCCCAUGGGUAUGUGUUCUUAAUUCUAUUUUCUAAGUUAUUAACAAGGUUCAGUCGUAUGUUUUUAGUCAUUGUCCGUUCAAGUCGUGUUUCACAAGAUUAGUUUUUAGUCAUUGUCCGUUGAAGUCGUGUUUCAUGAGAUUAGUCCUUAAUUCUAUUUUCUAAGUUAUUAACAAGGUUCGGUCGUAUGUUUUUAGUCAUUGUCCGUUCAAGUCGUGUUUCACAAGAUUAGUUUUUAGUCAUUGUCCGUUGAAGUCGUGUUUCAUGAGAUUAGUCAAGAUGUAGCAUGUACAUAAUUGGUUGAUUCUAUGGUUGGUAAUAGCAGCAUGUUCUCAAAAGUUAAAUGGCAGUGGCUGUAACAAUUUUUUAAA